rnacentral:rRNA from 1 species
AUUGAACGCUGGCGGCAGGCCUAACACAUGCAAGUCGAACGCGAAAGUCACUUCGGUGGCGAGUAGAGUGGCGGACGGGUGAGUAACGCGUAGGAAUCUGCCCUGUAGUGGGGGAUAACCCGGGGAAACCCGGGCUAAUACCGCAUACGCCCCACGGGGGAAAGCGGGGGAUCUUCGGACCUCGCGCUAUAGGAAGAGCCUGCGUCGGAUUAGCUAGUUGGUAGGGUAAAGGCCUACCAAGGCGACGAUCCGUAGCUGGUCUGAGAGGAUGAUCAGCCACACCGGAACUGAGACACGGUCCGGACUCCUACGGGAGGCAGCAGUGGGGAAUAUUGCGCAAUGGGCGAAAGCCUGACGCAGCCAUGCCGCGUGUGGAAGAAGGCCUUCGGGUUGUAAAGC